rnacentral:lncRNA from 1 species
AAGCAGUGGGUGGAAAAAUGCAGAAGACAACUUGGGCCUGAUUGUCAGACAAGCUUCCUAAUACUUACAGCUAUCCAAAAGUAGAACAGGCUGCCUUAAGAGGCGCUGGGUUCAAGAGGAGACUGAAUUACCAUUGGUCAGGUAUGUUCAUGUGAAGAUUCCUGUCACGUGUGAGGUUGCUGAGGUUCUUAUGACUUUCAAAUUCUAGGAUUCUGUGGGAGGAUCAGGAGCUAGAUGAAGCUUGCCUGGGUAGCUCAGGACCAUCACCCACUCACAUUGGGGCCAGAAUUGCCUUGAAGAGAACACAGCCCUUCUUAAGGAAGCUGGUUGGGCACAGCCAAGUGAGGCUCCUGGAAGUGCACAGGGAACCUAAUGACUCUUGGAAAGGGAGAAGCAACCUGGCUCUCCACUCCUCCAUUCCCUUCAGGUCACUUCGGAGGAGGAUUUUCAUUGGUGAAGAGGUGGAGGACGAACAACAGGGAGGGGUUGGAAGAGAUGUUAAUGUUUUGUUAAGUUCAGUAACUUUUCACUUACUGUUCCAGUCUAAACUCUGAAUUCCUUCAUGCUAUAGUAAAGAGGACUUGCAUAAAUUGAACAAAAUCUGCAUGUACUGCUAAGGACAGGAUUGAGAAGGGGUAUUACUUGACAAGAAAAAAAAAAAAAAAACAACUAGAGAAAAACCAGGAAUUCUAUAAGCCCACUUUUUGUAAGAGAAAAAAACCACCAAGGUUCUAAUGUUUGAAAGUUUUGAGCUGAUUUCCAUGUUGCACAAGCAACAUGCCAUGAUGACUCAGCAUGCAGAAACAGAAUUUGAUGUCUUAGUUAAAUACAGCUUAAAACAAAGUUAAUCCAGGGCAUACUUAACAGUAUGCUACCUUCUUAUUCAACAAAUAUUUAUUAAGUUCUCUUUAUUCAUCAGGGGAUGUAAUAACCAAAAUGAAGAGGCAGCUAGGUGUGAAGUGGAUAAUGAGCCUGGAGUCAGAAAGAACUGACUUCAGAUCUAGCCCCAGAUACUUACUCACUCUGUGACCCCAGGAAAUUCGCUUGACCUCUGCCUCAGUUUCCUGGACUAUAUAAAAUGGGGAUAAUAAUAAGACCUACUUCCCAAGGUUGUGCUGAGGAACAAAUGAGAUAACACUUAGCAAUGCCUGGCACACUAUGGUCCUAUUAAAUGUCAGCUCGUUAUUAAAUAGUAACUGCCUUCCAGAAGCUUGAAGGGGAAGGGGAUACAACAUGUCCACAAAUAAUAAUAUACAAGAUAAUUUGAAAAGGGAGCAUGGAACAUUAGGAACUGCUAGGAUUAUGGAAGAUAUAUUAGAAGAGGUAACAUCUGAGCUGAGUCUUGAAGAAAUACAAAGAUUCUGAAAGGCAAAAUGAGGAAAGAUGAAUUCAAAGCACUUAGCCUGCAACAAUAUGCUUAGUAGGAGAUGGAGUAUUAGAUCCAGGGAAUGGCUAAUUGUUCAUUUUGUCUGGAACACAGAACUUGUGAAGGGGUGUGAAACAGGCUAGCGUCAGAGUGAAGACCCUUAAGUUACAGACUAAAAGAGUUUAUAUUUUAUCCUGAAGGCAAUGGGGAACCUUGGUUUUUCAGAGUAUUUGGAGUGACAUUUGACUUCAUGUGACAUCCCCAGAGGGCUGCUCCUUUACUUGGGACUUACACUCACAGGGGGAACACCCUGCUGAUAGGCUGACACUUGAAUUUCUAAAAAGUUAUUGUUCAAUAGAAAAACAACAAAUCCAACUGCCUUCCCAACAAUAAUCAGUCAGGCAACAUAAUUAGCUAUUAAUAAAAGUGUUUGUUCAAAGAGCAAAGCAAGAAAAAUGGAUAGAGAAUAUUCCAACCUUCCCCCCCGAUAAAUCUGGACUGCAUUGUCUCAAUAAGACAUACAACUAGAGGAAGAGUCAGAACCCCCAAAACGAUGGUAGUCACUCACAUGCUAGGCUAAACAUGUAGCAAAUCCACCUUACAACUCCCAGUGGUACAGUGCCUGGAAGUCUUUUCUCCCUAUGUAGAAGUUUUAUGCCAGACUUUGGGAGGGCACUGCCUCUACGGGAUGCCACAUCCCAAGGCUCUCUUCUCUGCUGCCAGGGUCAUGCUCUAUGAAAAUUCCCCCCUCUGAUAACCCUGUCUCUGAAGCUAUGCUUAUUUGGAGUGCCUUGUGUCUGCUUCCUGCUGGAUAAAGUGUCUCCCAUUGGUAUAACCUACAACAGCUGAUGGAGAGUUGGAGUUACAGAUUUCCCUCUUCCCACUGCAGGAGUCUCUCUUUAGCCAGUUCAAGCUAUCUACAAUAACUUCUACAAUUCCUCUGGGGCUUGACUAUUCAAAACCCCUAAAGAUUUAGAUCGUUUGUUUGUUCAACCAAUCAUUGUUAGGAUCUUCUUAACAUUUCACUUUAUAAAAAUGUAGAGAUGUUUUAUAGUUGAGUUGGCUUAAUACCCCAUGACUACCUUAUGCUUACAUUCUGGGUUUUCUGUGAUUACAUCCCUCUCCUAUCAAGCUCCCCCAUGGCCAUGAAACCUUGGAGUAACUGUUUCUUCUGUCUCAGCAAUUAUCUAUUCUUUCCUAUCUUUGGCAUGUCAUGAUUAGAGACAUAAUGGACCAGAUUAUGACCUUAUGAGCUUCAAAAGUUUGGAGCAGUCUCCAGAAGUUCAUAGCAGAGUCAGAGGCAGGAAUCGAACCCAAUGGGGGCUAGAACUGUUGAAUAACCCAUUUGUCCAUCAGUGAAUUGCCCAACAAUUGAGACACUUAGACAUGAGGUUCUGCAAGCAAGGGAGCAACUCCUCUCAGCCAUACCAUCAUAUUAACUCAGGGAGGAAAUAUUUUUGUAGCAACAUUUUAUAUUAUAAUCCAUGUUUUUGGAGACCAAGUGAGUGCAUGGGGGAGGGGGGUUAAUUGUGCUCCAGAUUUGUUUGGGCUUGAGCUUGGGGGUUUGGGUUUUUGGUUUGGGGAGAUAAAGUUUUUGUGCUUUGUUUCUUGCUAUAUAUCUUCUUAGUAAAUACCUUUGUUUUUUGUUUUGUUUUUUUAUUAAAAUUUUUUUUUGUUUUCAAAGCAUAUGCAUGGAUAAUUUUUGAACAAUGACCCUCGCAAAACCUUGUGUUCCAAAUAUUCCCCUCCUUCCCCCCCACCCUCUC